UUGAAAAAUGUCGCACGUCGUACAAGCUGUCGCGCGGUUUUGAUUUUACCGUUUCGAUAUCGAUUGGUCGAAAGGACGACAAACGUACGACAAACACUCGACAUGCCCGACAUUGUUUUUUUUCCAUCGAUUUUCCUUCAAUUCGACGUCACGAUUUUCGUCGACGCAAACAGUUUGACAGUUCUCUUCAGCUGGUCUUGUUUGGACUUGAUUGCAACCGAAUCGAACCCGUUAUUGUUGAUGUUGGGCUUCGGAAGGAUUUUGACCGGUUGAUAGAUAUUCAGAAUUCGGUCUUCGUGGCGGUGGGGGAGGAGGACGAGACGCAUGAAUCCGGCGGGCCAGGUCUUCGUGGCGGAAGACGGGACCGGAAGGAACCGAGCUUAUGGAGGAUAUGGUUCAUUCCAAAGGAGGAGGAGGAUGAAACACCGAGUGUCAAAAGUUCUACCCAAGGUAACCAAAAAUUUUCCAAUCUGAUCCUGCUAACAAACCAGCGUCUUUGUGUUGUCCCACGCAGUUUGUUGAACGGAAGCUGUAACGACCGCAUAAACAUCUGCUCCGGAAGUACGUAAACCGACGUUGUCCCGUAUUCCGGUGGCCAUCAAUCCAUGGGACAUAAACGGUGGCGGUCGGCUCGAAAUGAUGGCUGGCAAAUUCCGGACACGGAAGACAACGCCAAAAACUUCCGGCCAAGAUGCCGAGCGAUGAGCUGAAAGACCAACUGGAAGACAACGCCAAAAACUACGUGGAGAUCGCGACACACAAGUAAAAUUAAUGAAUGUAUUUUAAAUCGAGUGAAAAAGUGAAAUUUACAAUAAAAAUACAUCUAAAAAUAAAAAAAAUAAAAAAAAAAUAUCUAUUUUUUAAUGCAACAUAACCUAAAAACCCGAAAUGACAUCACACGACAAAGGCACGACAUCCUAAAUAACAAAACCGUGCGACGUCGGUCGAAUGUCGUACGACAAUGUCGUACAAUUUCGAUCAUCGAUCGCACGACAAACACGACAUUUUGGUGCAAAAACGUAUGACAUUCGCGCGAAAGUCGCACGACAUUGUCGUGCGACGUCGUACGAUUGCACGGACG